CGGGGUGAGUAAUGUCUGGGAAACUGCCUGAUGGAGGGGGAUAACUGCUGGAAACGGUAGCUAAUACCGCAUAACGUCGCAAGACCAAAGAGGGGGACCUUCGGGCCUCUUGCCAUCGGAUGUGCCCAGAUGGGAUUAGCUAGUAGGUGGGGUAACGGCUCACCUAGGCGACGAUCCCUAGCUGGUCUGAGAGGAUGGCCAGCCACACUGGAACUGAGACACGGUCCAG
rnacentral:rRNA from 1 species